GCAGUCGUGGCCGAGUGGUUAAGACUGGAAAUCCAUUGGAGUCUCCCCGCAUAGGUUUGAAUCCUGUCGACUGCG
rnacentral:tRNA from 2 species